rnacentral:rRNA from 1 species
UACGUAGGGGCGAGCGUUGUCCGGAAUGAUUGGGCGUAAAGGGCGCGCAGGCGGCCUGUCAAGUCAGUAGUGGAAGUCCAUUUUUCAAGGAUGGAAGUGCUAUAGAAACUGAUGGGCUUGAGUGCAGGAGAGGUUAUCGGAAUUCCCGGUGUAGCGGUGAAAUGCGUAGAGAUCGGGAGGAACACCAGUGGCGAAGGCGGGUAACUGGACUGCAACUGACGCUGAGGCGCGAAAGUGUGGGGAGCAAACAGGAUUAGAUACCCCCGUA